CUCCAGUUCAUCCCGUCCUCUCGUUGGACAGGGGAGAGAAAUGGCUGCAGAGGAGCCAGUUCAGGGGCCGGUGACCUUCGAGGAGGUGGCUGUGUAUUUCACCAGGGAAGAGGGGGCUCUCCUGGACCCCACCCAGAAAGCCCUCUACAGAGAUGUCAUGCAGGAGAACUAUGAUAAUGUGACCUCGCUGGGGUUUCCAUUUUCCAAACCUGAUGUGAUCUCCCAGCUGGAACAAGGGGAAGAGCCAU